rnacentral:misc_RNA from 1 species
ACGGACUACGAGGGUAUCUAAUCCCGUUUGCUCCCCACGCUUUCGCACCUCAGCGUCAGUAUCUUCCCAGAUCGCCGCCUUCGCCACUGGUGUUCCUCCCGAUAUCUACGAAUUUCACCUCUACACCGGGAAUUCCGCGAUCCUCUUAAGUACUCAAGCCCCGCAGUUUCGGAUGCACUUCCUUGGUUGAGCCGAGGGAUUUCACAUCCGACUUGCAGAGCCGCCUACGUGCGCUUUACGCCCAAUAAUUCCGAGCAACGUUUGCACCCUUCGUAUUACCGCGGCGGCUGGCAC